AAUGUUGAUAAUGUAUGUACCUUAACACUUAUUAGCUUAUAAAUUAAAAUUUCUACAAAAUUACUCUUUUAAUUUAACAAGUUAUAUGUUAUUUUACCAUGCAACUUCCGUUUUGAUCAAUUAUCUAUUUUCAUUACGUUACGAGAAAUAUCUAUGUGUAUAAAUUAUUACAUGCAAGCAGAAACAUAAUAAUAAAGAAUAUGGGAUCUCAUGAAAAAUAAAAACAUUUCCGCAAAUAUGUGCCAACCUUGUAAGAGAUCGCUAGGCGGACGGGAGGCAUCCAUAAGACCAGGAAUCAGCGGAGACUCAGAAUUCCUAGAUGGAGGGCCUGUCUCAACAGGCACACACCAUAGUAGAAUGAAAAUUUACCUGAAGAAUAAGAACUGGAGGGAAGGUCGGUAGCUGGUGUUUGUGUAUUGACACUGCGAGUAGCCCUCAGUAGGUCCGCUAAUGGUGCUCGAUGCCCUUCUGGUGUUAUUUGUUCGCGAU